UAGGGAAUCUUCCGCAAUGGACGCAAGUCUGACGGAGCAACGCCGCGUGAGUGAAGAAGGAUUUCGGUUCGUAAAACUCUGUUGUUAGAGAAGAACAGCGCAUAGAGUAACUGUUAUGCGUGUGACGGUAUCUAACCAGAAAGCCACGGCUAACUACGUGCCAGCAGCCGCGGUAAUACGUAGGUGGCAAGCGUUGUCCGGAUUUAUUGGGCGUAAAGCGAGCGCAGGCGGUCAAUUAAGUCUGAUGUGAAAGCCCCCGGCUCAACCGGGGAGGGUCAUUGGAAACUGGUUGACUUGAGUGCAGAAGAGGGGAGUGGAAUUCCAUGUGUAGCGGUGAAAUGCGUAGAUAUAUGGAGAAACACCAGUGGCGAAGGCGACUCUCUGGUCUGUAACUGACGCUGAGGCUCGAAAGCGUGGGUAGCAAACAGG
rnacentral:rRNA from 1 species